rnacentral:rRNA from 1 species
ACAAUGGGCGCAAGCCUGAUGCAGCCAUGCCGCGUGUAUGAAGUAAGGCCUUACGGGUUGUAAAGUACUUUCAGCAGUGAGGAAGGUGGAUAUGUUAAUAGCAUAUUCAUUUGACGUUAGCUGCAGAAGAAGCACCGGCUAACUCCGUGCCAGCAGCCGCGGUAAUACGGAGGGUGCGAGCGUUAAUCGGAAUUACUGGGCGUAAAGCGCAUGCAGGUGGUUUGUUAAGUCAGAUGUGAAAGCCCGGGGCUCAACCUCGGAAUUGCAUUUGAAACUGGCAAACUAGAGUACUGUAGAGGGGGUAGAAUUUCAGGUGUAGCGGUGAAAUGCGUAGAGAUCUGAAGGAAUACCGGUGGCGAAGGCGGCCCCCCUGGACAGAUACUGACACUCAGAUGCGAAAGCGUGGGGAGCAAACAGGAUUAUAUACCCUGGUAG